CACUACCCUACUCUGCCAGAAGGCUCUCUCUGACUAGUGAUGACUGGGGAUAAGGAAUCUAUUGGCAGACUAAUAAGUAGCUCCUAGAAUUGAUGAGAAGCCUGAAGAACCAGCUGCAAGAAAUGAGCCAGAACCAAGAGAGAUUAAGAGAUCAGAACAGACGAAUCUACAUGUCUGGUCAGGGUACACUGGACUGCUAUCACUGACAACCUCUCCCCUACCUCCACAAGACAUAGAAAUGACCCUGGAAGCCCCAUAGAC
rnacentral:lncRNA from 10 species